AGUGAACGCUGGCGGUAGGCCUAACACAUGCAAGUCGAACGGCAGCACAGUAAGAGCUUGCUCUUACGGGUGGCGAGUGGCGGACGGGUGAGGAAUACAUCGGAAUCUACUUUUUCGUGGGGGAUAACGUAGGGAAACUUACGCUAAUACCGCAUACGACCUACGGGUGAGAGCAGGGGAUCUUCGGACCUUGCGCGAUUGAAUGAGCCGAUGUCGGAUUAGCUAGUUGGCGGGGUAAAGGCCCACCAAGGCGACGAUCCGUAGCUGGUCUGAGAGGAUGAUCAGCCACACUGGAACUGAGACACGGUCCAGACUCCUACGGGAGGCAGCAGUGGGGAAUAUUGGACAAUGGGCGCAAGCCUGAUCCAACCAUACCGCGUGGGUGAAGAAGGCCUUCGGGUUGUAAAGCCCUUUUGUUGGGAAAGAAAAGCAGCAGGUUAAUACCCCGCUGUUCUGACGGUACCCAAAGAAUAAGCACCGGCUAACUUCGUG
rnacentral:rRNA from 1 species